CGGCUCAACGCGUCGUCCUGGAAGCAUCAAGCAACAGCCAGCCAGCAAGCCAGCCCAUCUCGUCUCACUUGAUCAUCCUACUCUUUGCACUCAGCCGUUUCGGCACAAGAUCACGGCGAAGAUGCCCUCGACGGCCGCCGUCACCCGCGGACACCUCGAGAACAAGCUCGCCCUCGCCAAACGCUGCUCCAGAGCUGGCGAGCGUGAGGAUGCUGCCGUGGGCCAAGGCGAACCUGAACCCCACCGGCUAGGCCCUCAUCAUCUGCACCGUCGCCGGGAUGGCGUACUUCGUCGCCGUCGACAAGACGAUCCUCUCGCUGGCGAGGAGGCACUCGUACGAGAGCGCCCCCGACCACCUCAAGGACACCUCCUUCCGUAACUACUCCAUCCGGUCCUAUUUUGUUUGCGUCUAAGAAAAAAUAGUUUUUCCCUCAAUGCUCUGCGCAUUGGCAUAUUUUCGCGGCACUUUUCUAGUAUGCCCCUCAUCGCAUUAA